UGGCAAAUUGUAGACCACAAGAUUUCUAAAAUCCUAUGAUCUUAAAUUAGUUGUAGUUAGCAAUUAAAUGAUAAGUUAGCAAUUGAUCACUCCCCAACAUUACUAAAUAAACAGAUAUUUUCAAGAUAAGUUUGCAUAAUUUUGAACCCCAAACAAAAGUGAAAAAGAUAGUCAAAUACUACCUCCGUCCCUUAAAAAGAGAAACGAUUUCCAUUUGGUCUGUCCCUUAAAAAUAUAAACUUUCUAAAACUUUCUAUUUUAUGAACUGGACCCCAUAAUCCACUAACACUACUUCCUCUAUUUUUUUCUCUUCCUCUCUCUUUACCCAUUUUUCUCUCCCUCUCUCUUACUCUACCCUUUUUUUCUCUCUGUCUUUCUUACUUAACCAAUUGUGCAUUAAAACCCAUGCCGUUUCAAAAGUUUCUAUUUUUCAAGGCCACAUGUAGUAGUAGUACUUAAGAAAAUUAUGAAUUACUAUUAACUUACAAGGAGGCUUGUUGGAAGAAAAUUGAGUAACAUCGUUAGUAAAAUAAUCUUGUUAUGUGCCAGUUGAAACAGGUAAGCCAAUCGUACUAACAUACUUCUCAACAUGCAAUCUGUUGUUGCUGGAGAAAUUAUGGCCAAAAAGAUGCUGCUUCAAGGCUUGUUCAUGGUAAUCAAUAGAUUGUUCAGGAACCUGGUGCUCCAUAAGACCCUUGUCGUCUAUCAGUUUCACCUAGCUACUUUGCCAGGUUCUGAGGUGAAGUUUCAGACUUAUCCCAUGAGUCAAAGUCUAGUGAUAAAAUAUUUGAUAUAAUGCCGCUCUCCCCUGUAUCAAUAGCAGAAGCACCACUGCUCACUUCAGUUUCAUAUCUCCCAAAUUGAGAUAUUUUCUCUUUUCUAAAUAAAAGAGUGGAAUCUACAGUACCAUUAUUGAAUGUAUCCUCUAGAUACACACUUAGAAUAUUAGAAGUUGAAACCUUCAAGUUACCACUUCUAUAUACAGCUUGCCUAUUAGAAUCAAUACUGGUCAUUGUCAAAUGCAGGAGAAAUAAAAUCAGAAUGCUUUAAAAUAA